GUGAGUAUAGCUCAGUGGUAGAGCGCAUGCUUAACAUGCCCGAAGUCCUGGGUUCAAUCCCUAAUACCUUCA
rnacentral:tRNA from 1 species